rnacentral:lncRNA from 1 species
GUUGGUCUUAAAACUCCAAAUGAUACGAUGUUCGAUAAAUCAGUUAUGGUCUUUUAAAUAUGAGGCGAGAUUAUUUUCAUAAUUAGUUAUGCUUUUAGAAGUUCGGAAUUAUAUGAUACUCUCAAUUCAAUUAUGAUUUUUCAAACUCCAUAUAAAAUUAUGGUCAAAAGGCAAAAUAAAAAAAAAUUGAACAAAAUUAAUAAAUCUUGUAACAACAAAGUCCCUCAAAAAAAAAAAAAAAUCUUGUAACAACAAAUGCAACGAAUCAAUCCUCCAUCAUACCUAUGUCAAAUUUAUAUGUAUUUCUACUCUUUUUUUUUUCUUACGCGUCAACUUUCUAUAAAAUUUCAUAUGAAAACUAAUGGGUAUUUUUAUGAUCUCAACAAAAUUAAUAAUUUAAUUACUAAAAGUUGUUGAGAUUAAUAUAAUUUAAAAUGUAUUACUAAUUUAAUUUAAUUUAAUUAAUUAUAUAAAUAAUUUACAUAAAAAUUAUUUUAUAUAAUUAUCAUAAGAAUAACAUAAAAUAUAUAAAUUACAAGAAAAUAUGUACCCAUCGAAUUUCGACGGGUAAUACACUAGUAAACUGAAAAUUUGUAGAACUCAAAAUCAGCACAAUAGAUUUCAUGUGAAUAAGGAAAGCUGGAAAGCAAUAUCAACCAAUUUAAUUGAUGUAAAAUUGAUUAAUAUUGUAAUUUCAUCUUGGAGCCAAUUGCCCAAUACUCGUGUAACACUAACUGGAAAACCUCAUUCACCAUAGAAAAAAAGUAAAUUUCAUAGACCCAACGUAAAAGGAAAGUCAUCUUCAGUUAAUCGGUCAUCUCAUAUGUAUCAAAAUAUUUCUUUUUUUCACCAUUUAUUUGAUAUUGUGAAAAGGGGGUAUGCUUAUGAAUUAAGUAAUACAAUAAAUUCUAGUAACGAAAUUUUAAUUUUCAAAGGCGGAGUAUAAUUUUAUGAAGACAAAAAUAACAAUUUUACUAAGCAUAAGAAAUAAUUAUACAAAAUUAAUAUUUUUCUAACCCAAAACAAAUGUACGGCCCAAGCCCAAUACUUUAUGGGUUAGAAACCCUUUUCAAAAGCGGCAUUUCUAUCUUCGCAGCGUCUUCUUCUAUAUGCGUUUUGCGUCCGCCUCUUUCGGUCGCCGUCGCCAGCCUCGCUUCGCCUAGGAAUCUCUGCAGAAGCAGCCUGUGCCCCACCUCGUCUCAGUGCGCCGCUUCACGCUCCAGCAUUUCCCGUCGUCAGGCCUCCUUCGACCUCGGCGCAGAACCAGCAUCAACGCCGCCCCCCAGCCAAACAGCCGGGCCAACAGCAGGUAAAUCACCUCUUUCUUCAAAUUAGACACCUCCGUUGCAAAUUAGAUCACAUUUCUCAUAUAUAUAGAGAUAUAUGGAUGAGUCUUUUCUGCCAUUAGCCAUCUUAUUAAUUUGGAUUAGUGCCGCAGGCUUCUCUAUUUCGUGAGAGGAGGAGGCAAGAGAGAAGAUAUAGUAGGUUUUGGAUAACAUCUGCAGACUUUGAGAGAAGGAAGAGAAGAGAAAGGCCUGCAGCAGCACCCGCUGCAAAUUUCCUCUAUUUCGCGAGUGAGAGAGAUAGAGGGAAAAGUCAUGGGUAAGAGAGCCAAGAGUUCAAGGAAGGGAAAGAAAGAAUGGAGGGCUAACAUAAGCACUGAAGAUAUAGAAGAUUAUUUUGAGAAAUCCACAAAAGACGCUCUUUCCGGUGGUUCUUUGGCUGAUGUGCCCAGUGAUUCUCUUUUCUUCGUUGAUAAAUCCAGAGGUAUAAGAAUCUUAAAAUUUUUAGAAGGUUGUGUUUAAUUGUACAUAUGAUACAGAAAAAUUCGAUGAUAUUCAAUUGAUUUUUUGAUAGGGUUUUAGAAAUUUAGUGAGAAAUUGAUACUUCUAGGUUAUGGAGUAUCACCGUUGAGAACUUUUAGUAUUCUUUUUUGGACGAAAGCAGCUCUAUGAAGUUAUGUACUGUUUCUUAAAGAAAACUAUGUUGGGACUGAAAGUUCUAAUCUGUGAAGUUAUAUAUUGUUUCUAAAAGAAGAGUAUUUUAAGAGUGGAAGUUGUAAUCUCCAAUGAGAUUGGUAGGAAGUCAUGAAUUGCUUUAAAAAAGUUGUCAGACUGAUAUUGGAUCCUGUAAUUGAUAGUUAGAGCUUUUCCUAUCCGAAACUAGUUAAUAUAUUCUUUUGUAUGAUGUGAUGGAGUUUUUCAUUUCUUGAAGGGGCCCAAUUCACUUGGGUUUUAUCUUAUUUCUUAACGAACUGUUUGGAUGUAUAAUAUGUAACUAGUGGCCAUGUUGCGAUCUUCUUGAGAAUCACGAUCAUUUUAACAAAAUGGAGAUUUUUAUUUGCAGAUCUUUCUAUUAAGCGGAAGAUUGAGAAAAACAGAGAGAAAGUAUUGCGAUGUGAUAGUCUGUUGCAGAGAAACCCUUUUAUUAAAGCUAUUCCGUCCUCUAUACAGAAUAAGAAAAAGUCCAAGAGAAAGGGUAAAGCUUUACCAACAGCAGCAGAUGAAAAUGUUGCACAGGGCAGCCUGAAGGUUAGUUUUCUUGGGAAAUUCUUUUAGAGUGAUUCUGCAAGUGAAUUAGUGAGGCUAAUUCUUAUAUUUCUAAUCCAAUCAUUUCAGGAUGAAAGUGCACAUGAUUCUGGAGUUCUUGACUUGUGGGAAGAGAAAGGUAACUCUAUGUGUGUGUAUGCAUAUUAAUACAUCCAUAUAGGUUGCUAUUUCUAUCGGCUGUGGUUUGCAACUACCAUUUGUUAUUUCUAAUAGAAUUUGCUAUUUCACUUUUGCAGGAGAAGUCAAGGCCAAAAUAAAAAAGGUAUAACAUAAUUUGUUGUGCACUUUUGGUUCUGCUUGUGUAACCAAUUAUAUUGUUCAAGGAAUCAUUAUUUGAUGAGUAUUGCAUGUUAGAGAUUCUGUAUAGUUUCUUAGCUGUCUCUGUACGCAUUAGUAACUUCUUGAAGUUAGUACUGAGUAAUGUAGUUCACUAGAACAUGAGAUUCUUUUAGAAUCUAUGGGGUUUAUUUAACAGUUAAUCAUGACAGAAGCCCAAGUCUUGCGUUAUUCCUGCUGUUGAGGUUGAACAUCCUGGAUGUUCAUUCAAUCCUCACCCUGAGAGCCAUCAGGUUGGUGUCAAUCUUUUACCUAUGCAAUUUCAUCAUUUUUCUUUCUAUUAAUGGUUGAACCUUACACUCUGUUAUAAUAGGACGCUUUAGCUCGUGCUGUUGCAGAUGAAAUGCAGAAAAUUUACCAACAUGAGUUGGGGCCUCAGCCCAUCCCUUUAGUUGUCCCUGGUGAAGCUAUUGAUGAAGAAUAUGUUCGUACCUCAUCCCGAACUGGUUACCUGAAGUUGAAAUGAAUAUUACCCCUCCAUAUUCACGUGCUUUCACUUACUUGCUUAUGAAGUUUUCAUGCAUUUCCCUCUUAUAUGCAUCAGAAAUAUUUUCUCGAGGCAGAUGCGGAUGAUGGAACUGAUGAGGAUGAUGAUGAACAAAGUGAAAAUCAGGCUGAUGAUGCAGAUGUGGAUGCAGAAAAAAGGUGAGCGUCUUUUCUUUUACUUGGUUUCUUUGAAUAAUCCAUUAUGUUUGUUUCCUUUUCUGCAAGGAUAAUUGGACAAGUAGCUUUGCUUUGUAAAAUUAUGGGUUCUGGUGUCUGGUGUGGUGUCCAUAUUGAGCAUCUAUCUUUUGGUGUUAGUGGAGUCAUUUUUCAGAGUUAAAUUGAUCCAUAUGAUAUUAAUUUUCUCAAUUUAAAUUGUCAAAGAAAGGUGAAUAUCACUAAUUGUGAUGGAAACUAUGCAGCUCUCAGAAAACCAAAAGGGUAACUCGGGUAGAGUUUAACCGGAGAGCUAGACGAAAGGAACAGUUGAGAAUUGAAGCAGAAGCCAAAAAAGUGAAGGGACUUUCAAAAGACAUAGACAGGUAAAAGAGAUCAUUUCUGCUAAUAUAUCUCCAAUCCAAGAUAGUUGUGCUUUACUCAAAAAGCACUAAAUUGGUUCUCUGCUGCAAAUAGUUUACCGGAAAUAAUGCAAGAAAUUGCGAAAGAGGAUGAAGAGAAACAUAAGAGACAUCUUCGGCGGAUUGUUGCUAAACAAGAAAGAUUGAAAGCUCGUCCAUCUCGCUUGGGAAAGUACAAGUAUGGCGUUAUAUAAGCAUUUUUAUGACGUUUUAUCUUCUAUGCAUGUGAAGUUCUGUUGAAAUAGGAAGCAACCACAACUACAUAGAUGAAAUGUUCUUGAUUAUUUUUACCUAUACUAAGGCAUUGAUCAUAUCCUUAUCUCUUAUCUUGCAUAUAUAUUUAUCAUAAGUUNGUUCGGAAUUAUAUGAUACUCACAAUUCAAUUAUGAUUUUUCAAACUCCAUAUAAAAUUAUGGUCAAAAAGCAAAAUAAAAAAAUUGAACAAAAUUAAUAAAUCUUGUAACAACAAAUGGAACAAAUCAAUCCUCCAUCAUACCUAUGUCAAAUUUAUAUGUAUUUCUACUCUUUUUUUUUUCUUACGCGUC